rnacentral:rRNA from 1 species
GACGAACGCUGGCGGCGUGCUUAACACAUGCAAGUCGAACGCUGAAGCUCAGCUUUUGUUGGGUGGAUGAGUGGCGAACGGGUGAGUAACACGUGAGUAACCUGCCCCCUUCUUUGGGAUAACGCCCGGAAACGGGUGCUAAUACUGGAUAUUCACUGGUCUUCGCAUGGGGGUUGGUGGAAAGGGUUUUUCUGGUGGGGGAUGGGCUCGCGGCCUAUCAGCUUGUUGGUGGGGUGAUGGCCUACCAAGGCUUUGACGGGUAGCCGGCCUGAGAGGGUGACCGGUCACAUUGGGACUGAGAUACGGCCCAGACUCCUACGGGAGGCAGCAGUGGGGAAUAUUGCCCAAUGGGCGCAAGCCUGAUGCAGCGACGCCGCGUGAGGGAUGGAGGCCUUCGGGUUGUGAACCUCUUUCGCUCAUGGUCAAGCCGCAACAAUGGUUGUGGUGAGGGUAGUGGGUAAAGAAGCGCCGGCUAACUACGUG